AUGUUUCUGUGCUUUUCAGUUUUUUUUCUACUACCUUUUCAAUGUUGGUGCAAAAAUGCACCAGCUAUGCCUGUUGGCUGUUGUGCUGCUAGUGACCUACCUAGAAAAUAUUAUUCCUUCCUACAAUUCCAUGUAUGCUCUGGAUAUUGUCGAAAACACAUAUUCGUCUUUCCUUUUUCAUUCAGCCGAGGGGCAGGCCUGGCGCAGUGGUGA
rnacentral:rRNA from 1 species